ACCUGAAAUCAAGUUAUGUGAUCAAAAUGAUCGUGA
rnacentral:sRNA from 1 species